GAUAGGGCUGCCUGUGGGAAGUUAGGAGCCUGGACAGGGCAUGAGGAAAUCUUCUGAGGUGUUGGGAAUAUUUGACAUCUUGUUUGUGGUGGUGGAUACAAAGGUUGAGGCAUUCACUAAAGCUCACCACGUCGUUCAUCUGCUAUCUACAUAAUUCACUCAAAAGACCGUACAUUGAGUGUCCGAUAUGCCCAGGCUCCUGCUGAUCCAGCAAGCAACUGCAAACAGCUCUAGAAAUGCUGUAACCCUGUUGUCCUGACUGGCCCCCGGUGAAUGAGCAGAAUUAGUUGAUGAUGGCUCCAAACUUUGCCAUUGAGUGUUCAGAUCUGCACUUUAGGGGGUUUGAAUAGAUGCAACAGCAUCUAUUGACAGCAUCUAGAAGCAUCUAGAAGACAGUUGGGGAAGAGCAUCUAGAAAGUAGUUGGGAAACAGCAAGUGAGAAGCAGAGAGAAUAGGUGGAAGCCACAGUUGGCAGAAGCCCUAAGGAAGAAGUUCAUUUUCUCUGCAUGUUACACCAUGAUGAAGGGAUUUUCAUUUUACAAAGGUUCAAAUAAUGAUUGAAGUCUACGUUCACAUAUCCCUGGGAUGAAAAAUUAAGUUAUUCCAUAGAGUUGCCCAAACCUUCUGGAAUGUCAUUUCCUGCACCCCUCUGUUCACAUCCUGGUGGUAGAUUUUUUUUACCCAGUGUAACUUAAUACAGUAGGAGGCUGAAACUCAUCGGUAAUCUCGACUUUUGUGUGGCAAGAAUGGUAUAGUAUCUAAGGUCCAAAAACUAUGGAGGCAGUGUUGAGGAUUCACCUUGGUCUUCAUUUCUAUCUUUCUUGAGAUGUUUUUCCAUCCAUAGACACUACUUCAACUUGGCACUUAUCUGCAAAUAUUACCGGUAAGCACAGUUGCAAAGAAAGCUCAGUGGUGUGGCUUUAGAAUGAUCCUGUUUGGAAAGCUAAGUGCAAGCAAUGUUGAACAUUUAAAAAAUGAGGAUUAAAUGCAGGUGCCAGUAAAUAGUUUGUGUACCUUACUUGAGCUAAAAGAUCACACAAAAGUAUGUUGUUAACUUUUCUGUUCUAUUGUCCAAUACUUUGUAGUGAGUUCAGAGAGUAUGCAUAUGUUCUACACCAAACAUAUUCUAUAUCAAAUAUAUAUAUGUUCUAUAUCAAAAGUAAGUAUCAAUUGUAUUUAUCCAAUUUUGUGUGGAAGCUCAAUUCUUCCCAAAAUAUUUGCAUAUUAUCUAUAAAUAACCAAAUAUAUAAAG